GACGAACCGUGCGAACGUUGUUCGGAUUCACUGGGCUUAAAGGGCGCGUAGGCGGCUCGCCGAGUCAGGGGUGAAAUCGUCCGGCUCAACCGGACAAGCGCUUCUGAUACUGGCGGGCUGGAGGUAUGCAGGGGAGAACGGAAUUCCUGGUGUAGCGGUGAAAUGCGCAGAGUAUCAGGAGGAACACCGGUGGCGAAGGCGGUUCUCUGGGCAUGUCCUGACGCUGAGGAGCGAAAGUGUGGGGAGCGAACAGG
rnacentral:rRNA from 1 species